GGGCCGGUGGCGGAACCGGUAGACGCGAGGGACUUAAACUCCCUUGGGGGCAACCCUGUGCGGGUUCAAUUCCCGCCCGGCCCACCA
rnacentral:tRNA from 1 species